rnacentral:rRNA from 1 species
AUUGAACGCUGGCGGCAGGCCUAACACAUGCAAGUCGAGCGGAUGACGGGAGCUUGCUUCUUGAUUCAGCGGCGGACGGGUGAGUAAUGCCUAGGAAUCUGCCUGGUAGUGGGGGACAACGUUUCGAAAGGAACGCUAAUACCGCAUACGUCCUACGGGAGAAAGCAGGGGACCUUCGGGCCUUGCGCUAUCAGAUGAGCCUAGGUCGGAUUAGCUAGUUGGUGAGGUAAUGGCUCACCAAGGCGACGAUCCAUAACUGGUCUGAGAGGAUAAUCAGUCACACUGGAACUGAGACACGGUCCAGACUCCUACGGGAGGCAGCAGUGGGGAAUAUUGGACAAUGGGCGAAAGCCUGAUCCAGCCAUGCCGCGUGUGUGAAGAAGGUCUUCGGAUUGUAAAGCACUUUAAGUUGGGAGGAAGGGCAGUAAGUUAAUACCUUGCUGUUUUGACGUUACCGACAGAAUAAGCACCGGCUAACUCUGUGCCAGCCGCCGCGGUAA